UACGUAGGGUGCAAGCGUUGUCCGGAAUUAUUGGGCGUAAAGAGCUCGUAGGCGGCCUGUCGCGUCGGCUGUGAAAACCCGGGGCUCAACCCCGGGCCUGCAGUCGAUACGGGCAGGCUAGAGUCCGGUAGGGGAGACUGGAAUUCCUGGUGUAGCGGUGAAAUGCGCAGAUAUCAGGAGGAACACCGGUGGCGAAGGCGGGUCUCUGGGCCGUAACUGACGCUGAGGAGCGAAAGCAUGGGGAGCGAACAGG
rnacentral:rRNA from 1 species